UGCCAGCAGCCGCGGUAAUACGGAGGGAGCGAGCGUUAAUCGGAAUUACUGGGCGUAAAGCGCGCGUAGGCGGCUUUGUAAGUCGGAUGUGAAAGCCCUGGGCUUAACCUGGGAAUGGCAUUCGAUACUUCAUGGCUAGAGUAUGGUAGAGGGAAGUGGAAUUUCCGGUGUAGCGGUGAAAUGCGUAGAUAUCGGAAGGAACACCGGUGGCGAAGGCGACUUCCUGGGCCAAUACUGACGCUGAGAUACGAAGGCGUGGGUAGCGAACGGGAUUAGAUA
rnacentral:rRNA from 1 species